AUUUAGGAGAGCUGUACCUAAUAGGUCUGCUUCCUAACAAAUGGGUCUUUGUCCUCCUUUCCUUUCACAUUUCUCUCCAAAUCUCAGCCCUGAACAGAGGUUCUCAGAACAUAUAAAGGAUGAGAAGAAUACAGAAUUUCAACAGAGGUUCAUUCUCAAGAGAGAUGAUGCCAGUAUGGACCGAGAUGAUAACCAGAUCAGAGUUCCAUUGCAGGAUGGAAGGAGGAGCAAGUCAAUAGAAGAGAGAGAGGAGGAAUAUCAAAGGGUCCGAGAGAGAAUAUUUGCCCGAGAGGGGGAACCGUGAAGGGCUGAGCCGCACCUCAAGCAGCCGCCAGAGCAGCACAGACAGCGAACUCAAAUCCCUGGAGCCACGCCCUUGGAGCAGCACAGAUUCUGAUGGCUCUGUCCGGAGCAUGCGACCCCCUGUCACCAAAGCCAGCAGCUUCAGUGGAAUCUCUAUCCUUACCCGAGGUGACAGCAUCGGCAGCAGUAAAGGCGGCAGUGCGGGAAGGAUCUCCAGGCCAGGUAUGGCACUAGGUGCCCCAGAAGUGUGCAACCAGGUCACCUCAUCCCAGUCUGUGCGGGGGCUUCUCCC
rnacentral:sRNA from 1 species